rnacentral:rRNA from 1 species
GUUGUCAGCAGCCGCGGUAAAAGCGUAGGGGGACAAGCGUUAUCCGGAUUUACUGGGUGUAAAGGGGUAGCGUAGACGGUUCUGCAAGUCUGGAGUGAAAGCCCGGGGCUCAACCCCGGGACUGCUUUGGAAACUGUGGAACUAGAGUGCAGGAGAGGUAAGUGGAAUUCCUAGUGUAGCGGUGAAAUUGCGUAGAUAUUAGGAGGAACACCAGUGGCGAAGGCGGCUUACUGGACUGUAACUGACGUUGAGGCUCG